rnacentral:rRNA from 1 species
UCAAGCGCAGCUACCAUGCAGUCGAGCGGCAGCACGGGGAGCUUGCUCCCUGGUGGCGAGCGGCGGACGGGUGAGUAAUGCAUAGGAAUCUGCCCGGUAGUGGGGGAUAACGUGGGGAAACCCACGCUAAUACCGCAUACGUCCUACGGGAGAAAGCGGAGGAUCUUCGGACUUCGCGCUAUCGGAUGAGCCUAUGUCGGAUUAGCUAGUUGGUAAGGUAAUGGCUUACCAAGGCGACGAUCCGUAGCUGGUCUGAGAGGAUGAUCAGCCACACUGGGACUGAGACACGGCCCAGACUCCUACGGGAGGCAGCAGUGGGGAAUAUUGGACAAUGGGCGAAAGCCUGAUCCAGCCAUGCCGCGUGUGUGAAGAAGGCUUUCGGGUUGUAAAGCACUUUCAGCGAGGAAGAAGGCCUCUGGGUUAAUACCCCAGAGGAAGGACAUCACUCGCAGAAGAAGCACCGGCUAACUCCGUGCCAGCAGCCGCGGUAAUACGGAGGGUGCGAGCGUUAAUCGGAAUUACUGGGCGUAAAGCGCGCGUAGGUGGCUUGGCACGCCGGUUGUGAAAGCCCCGGGCUCAACCUGGGAACGGCAUCCGGAACGGCCAGGCUAGAGUGCAGGAGAGGAAGGUAGAAUUCCCGGUGUAGCGGUGAAAUGCGUAGAGAUCGGGAGGAAUACCAGUGGCGAAGGCGGCCUUCUGGCCUGACACUGACACUGAGGUGCGAAAGCGUGGGUAGCAAACAGGAUUAGAUACCU